ACGUGCGGACUAUUGUGUAUUUGUGUGUGUGUAUGAAUCCGAUAGGUAACCAUUAAUGGGGAAACCAAAGUGGUCAUGGCCUAAUUGUGCUUCUGGCUCAUCAUCUCAUUCCAGCUCUCCCCCGUCGCCUUCUUCGUCUUAUUCUCUCCCUUGCCCCUUACAUCUCAUCGGAAAAGUAGAUUGACCUGUAAGUUCGUAUCCUAUCACCAAUUUGUAGGCUUGCCUCGUUCUCACUCAAGGUCGAGAUCACCCUGCAGGGGAAGAGGUCCAGCUGGAAGACGUAGAAUGUCAUCUUACUGCUCUAGUUCUCCAAGCCCCGUAACCGUAAGGGAAAGCGGUCCCGCUGGAAGACGUAGAAGGCCUUUGAAAGGAAGGAGCAGCAGCACCAACAGGGCAACAGGUAGCAGCAACAGCUCACCGCCACUUCGCAAGAGCUAAUAAUUGUUUUCCUGCAAUCUCCAUUAAAAGGAAAAAAAAAAGUUUGAAGUGACCAAAAUGAGACUCAUGUUCUCAUUUACUCUGCUUGGAUCGUACGAAUAAGACUGAUCGGUCUAGUCAAGUGAAUCAGUGAUCUGACAACAACAACCACCACCUUUGUCUUUUGUCUGUUUGCUUGGAGUUAAUGUGGUUCAUGAUCUGAUGGUAACAAGGAAUUGAAAGUGGAGGUGGGAUCAUUAUGCAUUUUAGCAGAAGAUGAGAUUGAAAGCAGUAGUGGGAAUCAUGCAAUCUACACAUUGGUUCUCUUUUUUUUUUUUUUAAAUUUGAACAAAAAUAAAAUAAAAUAAAAAUUGAAGGGACCACACACUGUCCAUAAGCACAACCACACAUGACACCAAGUUUAAAGUCUUUUGCAGAACCUCUUCUCUUGUCUCCUAAUGGGGCAACGAUUAUUAAAAUAAAUAA